rnacentral:rRNA from 1 species
UACAGAGGUCUCAAGCGUUGUUCGGAUUCAUUGGGCGUAAAGAGCGCGUAGGCGGCCCUGUAAGUCCGCUGUGAAAGUCAAGGGCUCAACCCUUGAAUGCCGGUGGAUACUGCAGGGCUAGAGUCCGGAAGAGGAGAGUGGAAUUCCUGGUGUAGCGGUGAAAAUGCGCAGAUAUCAGGAGGAACACCGAUGCGAAGGCAGCUCACUGGGACGGUACUGACGCUGAGGCGCGAAAGCGUGGGGAGCAAACAGG